GGGCUGCUCCGGUGGCAUAUGGAGGUUCCCAGGCUAGGGGUCUCAUCGGAGCUGUAGCCACAGGCCUACACUAGAGCCACAGCAACGUGGGAUCUGAGCCACAUCUUCGACCUACACCACAGCUCACGGCAACGCCAGAUCCUUCACCCACUGAGCAGGGCCAGGGAUCAAACCUGCAUCCUCAUGGUUCCUAGUCGGAUUCGUUAACCCCUGAGCCACGACGGGAACUCCUCAAACAACUUCUUUAUCUUUGAAAGUUAAUCCUUUCACAUUUGCCAAAUACUACUCACUAGAGAGGUAAUACAAUCUGCUCAGCUACUGUCUCAACGGAUAAACAGUAAAUGGCUUUUCCACUCCUGAGUCCUGAUGACUUGCUCACAACUGCUCACUGUGGGGCUGCACGUUCAUAAGGAACAGCAGACAUCCACUUAUCCCAGAACAAUUUACCAUUUUCAAUUUUUCAAAAUUUGCACCGAAGAAUCAGAGAAAGAAGAACGGUUCCAAGUUUUACUACGGAGCUGCCGUGAGGGCACUGCCUGCUCACACUGAAGAAUCUUAGUCGUUACGAAGUGACAGUCUUUGAAGGCCAACAGAAAAGUCCUAGCCCUUCCAAGCAAAGGUUCUUCAUUUUCUAUUACUUUUGAGUCCCAGUGGGGUUGCUGGACUCUGUUCACUCCAGUUCAUCAGUGUGUGUAUGUGUGUGUGUAGGUGUGUGUGUGUGUCUGCGCAAUCAGAGACGGGGUGUAGAGGUGACGUGAGACUGCAUGGGAGCAGGUCUGUUGCUGGGGCGGGGUGGUCGGCGCGUGGGGUUCACUUUGCUCUCCUCUUGGGUGCAUAUCCUGCAUGUGUCCAUGGCAAUUCAAAAAUAUCUAUCAUCUCAGCUUCUACAAUUUAUCAAAACACUUAAACGAUGACAUAUAUCCAUAUUUUUCAACCCAGAAGCUCAUCACAAUUAGAAGACUGGGCUUACAAAACGGUAAGUAGAUGGAAAAAAACAAAGAUCGGGAGUGAGUCAGAGGAAAGGAAGGAACUUAUUUUUAUGAAGGGCGGUAAUCACACAUGGUCACACUGAACCAGCUGUUCAUCCAGAAAAUCUGGGGGAGUUAAUCUGGAGCCUAUUCAAAGCUUUUAAUUACACUGGUCUUUCAUAGAUACACUUCAUAGCUCUUCAGGCCAAGAAUAUCUGUUUUUGGAACGAUCUUCACUGUCAAAAUAAUUGAACAAAGGCAAUAAAAGGAAAGGAAAAGCAAAAUGUACUUUCACUAAAAACAAGAACUCAGGGUAGAUAAGCAGUAAGCUGGGCGAUGGAUAAAGAGAAUCUUGAUUACUUGGGAAGUUAACCCCUGCCACUAAAAAGCUGUCACUGCCAAUAUAGAAUAAUCUACGACUCUGAGAUAAAAUAACUUCCUAUAAUAACCUAUAAAUGAAUCAAAAUAACAAAAAAGUAUCAAAUGUAUCAAUAUCAGAAAUAAAGAUGACCUUAACUUUGCCUUAAAAGUCAAUGGUUCAAAAUAAAACUUCAAUUAAAUUUAAUAUUUUUAAAUAUGAAUUAUAGCAUUUUAAUAUGCAAACCUAUUUUCGACCUUUAAAAUAUAAAAUUACUCAGGGUUGGGAAAGAAAACUGACAUACCACAGUUAUUCUAAAAUAGAUUAAUUUUUAUCCAACACCGUUUCUAAUACUGCCUUCAAAUACGAAGACGUCUAUAAAUUCAUAAGCUUCACAUCAUACAAUCCAUUUAAAUGUUUUUCUUUAAUACUGAAAGCUUUCUCCUGAACCUGCUAUUCUCAGGCCAUUUAUGAACAAUCCUUCUGGUAUGAGUUAUUUCCAAAACAAUGUUUAUUGAUUAACGAACACAUUUAAGAGCAAUUCUUUUCUUAAUUUUUUCCCAGCUAUCACUAUUGGAGUCCUAUUUAAAUAUGUCACAGAAUUUUUUACAUGUUAAAACUGCUUUGCAACCAUUUUUAAUAAUUAACCGUGUGUAACUCAAUUAUCUCUUGUGACCAUGAAGAAGUAAUGGUGCAUUGAGGCAGAAAAUUAUGCCAUAAAAUAUUAGAGUUAUCAUAAUAUCACGGCAGUAGAAUGGAGCGUUUUCCAUUUUAGAAGACUGACACCUAAACUUUCUCAUUUGACCUUUAAAAACUGGUCACCCAACACUUUUAACCUUUCAAUUUUGUCCUUUCCACUACGUAACAUUCUUCUAUUUAUUAUCAUCUUAAUACUGCAAUAACAAUUGAAAUCGGUAAAUUUUCAACAAGUAUAUAUUAAGCAUUCAGUCACAGAAUUAAGGACUAGGAAAGAGCUCAGAGAAGAGCUACUCCAAAGGCUCAAGUUGGAGACCAGAGAGCAGGUGUGUAAAUCCAAGGCGCCCCUUCCUUAAUCAAGUCUUGCUGAAAACAAGAAAAAAAAGUCAGCCAACAAAAUGGUGUAUUCGUGCUUUAGCUGAUGUGCUUUCCGGCACGGGCUCCACAUCCCCUGUGGACUGGAAAUCAACAUCCAAAGACUGGCAGACGGUCCACGAGCCACACUCCGAGGAGCCCUGUCUCACGGAUGACCUAGUCCAGGUCAGCACCUCGGGACAUAGGAAGCAGGUCCUGGGCUCCACCUUCAGAGAUUCGCACUCAAUGAGCCUUGACUAGGGCUGGGCCACUUCUGCUGAUUCCACCCUACUGGGCAGGGAAACCAGAGGCUGAGAGAGCCAGAGCAGUGUCAGUUUAUGAGACCUGAGACUCCUGAAGUGACCUUGAUUGACACGCUUCCCGCUCUAGCCCAGGCACAGGAUCGUCACCAUCACUACGUCAGGAUACUGGGGCGACAAGGACACGUAGGAAGUUCUCGCUUCCUUCUUAAUAACGUAAGAAAUAACACAGUAGAAGAAUGUAAGUAUUACCUGGCUAAACUUAGGUUACCUGAAGGAGUAAUCACAUCUUCCUUAAGGUACAAAUCCACUAAUUUCUGUUAUUUUGGAAAAUUCAAAAGGGGAUACUGGUAAGUUAAAUACUCUAACUUUCUUCAAAAUACUGAUUUAUCACUUCUUGAGCAAUACGUUAUUGGCAAAUUAACUUGAUAGUUUCAAUGUCAAGUGGAAAGGAUGUGUGUGUGUGUAUAUAUACAUAUAUUCUAAUUUGAAAUGAUUCUGUGAGCGUGAAAGCAUGAACGUCACAUGGACUUUCCUAUCUUUCUCUCCCGAUUUAAUACUCACUGCAAACAGUUACCUAGUCAUCCUGGCCAGCGACAAGGACCUGCUAAAUAAGCGGCCAGGGCUUUGUAACUCCGUCCCUAAGUCCUAUAAACCAGCCAGGCCUGGGUGGGAGCACGCCAGGACUAACAUCGAUAACUGCUGGCGUGCUUUUCUUCUUCCUCAUUUGAAAUAAAAAGUGCCUAUUAAUUAGUUUUCACUUUUACUAAACCACGCUUCUUCUAGGGCAUGAAACCAAAAAGCAGUGUGCCCAUUAUUAUAUCAAACUCAGUUCUAUUUACAAGACCAAUACAUUUAAACCUCAUCAUUAUCCGUUUGUUCUCUGAAAACGUUUCUCUGCCUUUUGGUGCUUUAGUUUCCUCGUCGUAUCAGAUACACCUCCUGGCCACGUUCCCUAUACCGUCUUUCUGUCUGUCAUGCCUCAGCUCCACUGGGCGUCUCUCCUUUUUUGUUAUUUCAGCCUCCAGUACACAGAGGGAUGUCUCAUUUUAAUAAGAAGGGUACAUGGGAUCAUUAAAGAGGAAUAUAAGGCAGCAUAUAACCAAGUGCCGUUAUUUCAACCAGAAGAGAACACUAGGGCAAAUUCUGUCCUGUUAUUUUCGUAGAAAACAGCCUCUGAUUUCAGUAGAGUUAAAAGACAAACCAACCAACCCUAGAGGAAAUAUUUUUCAGUAGAAAGAUAAUAAGCAAAUGGUAGCCAUAAACUUCAACUUUCCUGUUUUUACACUGUUCCCCCCCCCCAAAUAAUCCAUUUUAACCAUCCAGUCGAACAACGGUGGCCCAGCACCAGCUGUUUCCCCGGGGAAAGAAGGGCAGCAAAGCAGUCAGUCGGCCCCGCUCUGAGAGCCUGCUCUUUAGAAGCUUCUCUCAGGCUAAGCUGCUAGUCUCUGCAAGAGCAGGCAGGUUCCCAACAUUCCGCACAGAUUCGCUGCUUGACUAUCCCAACUGAGAGGUUGUCAUUCACGCUCUAAUUUUCCCACAAUUCACUUACAGGGUGGUAAGUAAAACAACGCCGUCAGUUCACGUCGAAGAAUAGAGUGAAAGUGCUUCGG
ensembl:lncRNA